rnacentral:rRNA from 1 species
UGAAUACGAGACGCUAAGGCGUCGAAGUAGUGUAUGUCAUACUUCCAAGAAAAGCUUGCACUGUCAUAGAUAAAAAACGCCUGUACCAUAACCGACACAGGUGGGUAGGUAGAGUAUACUAAGGGGCGCGAGAUAACUCUCUCUAAGGAACUCGGCAAAAUAACUCCGUAACUUCGGGAGAAGGAGUGCCUUAUUCGUAAGGUUGCAAUAACAAGAUCCAAGCAACUGUUUAUCAAAAACACAGGUCUCCGCUAAGUCGUAAGACGAUGUAUGGGGGCUGACGCCUGCCCAGUGCCAGAAGGUUAAAGAAGUUGGUUAGCAAUUGCGAAGCUGAUAACUGAAGCCCUGGUGAACGGCGGCCGUAACAAUAACGGUCCUAAGGUAGCGAAAUUCCUUGUCGGGUAAGUUCCGACCCGCACGAAAGGCGUAAUGAUUUGGAUACUGUCUCGGAGAGGGGCUCGGUGAAAUAGACUUGUCUGUGAAGAUGCGGACUACCUGCACCAGGACAGAAAGACCCUAUGAAGCUUUACUGUAACUUGAAAUUGAAAUUGGACUUUAUUCGCGCAGUAUAGGUGGGAGGCGUUGGUUAUAAUCUUGUGGGAUUAUUGGAGCCAUCAGUGAGAUACCACUCUUGUAAUGUUAGAUUUCUAACUUUGGAUCAUUAUCUGGUCAAAGAACAGUUUCAGGCGGGCAGUUUGACUGGGGCGGUCGCCUCCUAAACGGUAACGGAGGCGUACAAAGGUUUCCUCUGAACGGUUAGAAAUCGUAUCUAGAGUGUAAAGGCAUAAGGAAGCUUGACUGUGAGACCUACAAGUCGAGCAGGGACGAAAGUCGGUCUUAGUGAUCUGACGGUACUGAGUGGAAAGGCCGUCACUCAACGGAUAAAAGUUACUCUAAGGAUAACAGGCUGAUCUCCCCCAAGAGUUCACAUCGACGGGGAGGUUUGGCACCUCGAUGUCGGCUCAUCGCAUCCUGGGGCGGUAGUACGUCCCAAGGGUUGGGCUGUUCGCCCAUGAAAGCGGUACGCGAGCUGGGUUCAGAACGUCGUGAGACAGUUCGGUCCAUAUCCGGUGUAGGCGUUAGAAUAUUGAGAGGAGCCUUCUUUAGUACGAGAGGACCGAGAAGGACAUACCUCUGGUGUACCAGUUAUCGUGCCAACGGUAAACGCUGGGUAGCUAUGUAUGGAGUGGAUAACCGCUGAAAGCAUCUAAGUGGGAAGCCCACCUCAAGAUAAGUAUUCUC